AGUACCAUUUACAAGAGAACGAGACCCAUGUGGAGCUGACCAACAUGGAGAAGAAGUGGCAACAUCUUGUGCAGAACAACUUUGUGAUGAAAGAAUUCAUCGCCUCCAAAGGUGUAGAAAGCGAUUACCGCCCAGUGAUGAAGAACGUCAACAAACAACUGCUAGAGUACAAUAAGAUACUGGUUGAUACCCUGCAGAGAAACUGAGGAGGGGGAGCACUUCCUGUCUGCAGCUGCUCACAAACUCACUUCCUGUUCAAGAUGAUCCCUGAACAGCGUUCUAAAGACGACUUUGAGUGAUUGUAUUCUAGAA